rnacentral:rRNA from 1 species
GGUUAAGCGACUAAGCGUACACGGUGGAUGCCCCGGCAGUCAGAGGCGAUGAAGGACGUGCUAAUCUGCGAUAAGCGUCGGUAAGGUGAUAUGAACCGUUAUAACCGGCGAUUUCCGAAUGGGGAAACCCAGUGUGAUUCGUCACACUAUCAUUAACUGAAUCCAUAGGUUAAUGAGGCGAACCGGGGAACUGAAACAUCUAAGUACCCCGAGGAAAAGAAAUCAACCGAGAUUCCCCCAGUAGCGGCGAGCGAACGGGGAGGAGCCCAGAGCCUGAAUCAGUGUGUGUGUUAGUGGAAGCGUCUGGAAAGGCGCGCGAUACAGGGUGACAGCCCCGUACACAAAAAUGCACAUGCUGUGAGCUCGAUGAGUAGGGCGGGACACGUGGUAUCCUGUCUGAAUAUGGGGGGACCAUCCUCCAAGGCUAAAUACUCCUGACUGACCGAUAGUGAACCAGUACCGUGAGGGAAAGGCGAAAAGAACCCCGGCGAGGGGAGUGAAAAAGAACCUGAAACCGUGUACGUACAAGCAGUGGGAGCACGCUUAGGCGUGUGACUGCGUACCUUUUGUAUAAUGGGUCAGCGACUUAUAUUCUGUAGCAAGGUUAACCGAAUAGGGGAGCCGAAGGGAAACCGAGUCUUAACUGGGCGUUAAGUUGCAGGGUAUAGACCCGAAACCCGGUGAUCUAGCCAUGGGCAGGUUGAAGGUUGGGUAACACUAACUGGAGGACCGAACCGACUAAUGUUGAAAAAUUAGCGGAUGACUUGUGGCUGGGGGUGAAAGGCCAAUCAAACCGGGAGAUAGCUGGUUCUCCCCGAAAGCUAUUUAGGUAGCGCCUCGUGAAUUCAUCUCCGGGGGUAGAGCACUGUUUCGGCAAGGGGGUCAUCCCGACUUACCAACCCGAUGCAAACUGCGAAUACCGGAGAAUGUUAUCACGGGAGACACACGGCGGGUGCUAACGUCCGUCGUGAAGAGGGAAACAACCCAGACCGCCAGCUAAGGUCCCAAAGUCAUGGUUAAGUGGGAAACGAUGUGGGAAGGCCCAGACAGCCAGGAUGUUGGCUUAGAAGCAGCCAUCAUUUAAAGAAAGCGUAAUAGCUCACUGGUCGAGUCGGCCUGCGCGGAAGAUGUAACGGGGCUAAACCAUGCACCGAAGCUGCGGCAGCGACGCUGAUGCGUUGUUGGGUAGGGGAGCGUUCUGUAAGCCUGCGAAGGUGUGCUGUGAGGCAUGCUGGAGGUAUCAGAAGUGCGAAUGCUGACAUAAGUAACGAUAAAGCGGGUGAAAAGCCCGCUCGCCGGAAGACCAAGGGUUCCUGUCCAACGUUAAUCGGGGCAGGGUGAGUCGACCCCUAAGGCGAGGCCGAAAGGCGUAGUCGAUGGGAAACAGGUUAAUAUUCCUGUACUUGGUGUUACUGCGAAGGGGGGACGGAGAAGGCUAUGUUGGCCGGGCGACGGUUGUCCCGGUUUAAGCGUGUAGGCUGGUUUUCCAGGCAAAUCCGGAAAAUCAAGGCUGAGGCGUGAUGACGAGGCACUACGGUGCUGAAGCAACAAAUGCCCUGCUUCCAGGAAAAGCCUCUAAGCAUCAGGUAACAUCAAAUCGUACCCCAAACCGACACAGGUGGUCAGGUAGAGAAUACCAAGGCGCUUGAGAGAACUCGGGUGAAGGAACUAGGCAAAAUGGUGCCGUAACUUCGGGAGAAGGCACGCUGAUAUGUAGGUGAAGUCCCUCGCGGAUGGAGCUGAAAUCAGUCGAAGAUACCAGCUGGCUGCAACUGUUUAUUAAAAACACAGCACUGUGCAAACACGAAAGUGGACGUAUACGGUGUGACGCCUGCCCGGUGCCGGAAGGUUAAUUGAUGGGGUCAGCGCAAGCGAAGCUCUUGAUCGAAGCCCCGGUAAACGGCGGCCGUAACUAUAACGGUCCUAAGGUAGCGAAAUUCCUUGUCGGGUAAGUUCCGACCUGCACGAAUGGCGUAAUGAUGGCCAGGCUGUCUCCACCCGAGACUCAGUGAAAUUGAACUCGCUGUGAAGAUGCAGUGUACCCGCGGCAAGACGGAAAGACCCCGUGAACCUUUACUAUAGCUUGACACUGAACAUUGAGCCUUGAUGUGUAGGAUAGGUGGGAGGCUUUGAAGUGUGGACGCCAGUCUGCAUGGAGCCGACCUUGAAAUACCACCCUUUAAUGUUUGAUGUUCUAACGUGGACCCGUAAUCCGGGUUGCGGACAGUGUCUGGUGGGUAGUUUGACUGGGGCGGUCUCCUCCUAAAGAGUAACGGAGGAGCACGAAGGUUGGCUAAUCCUGGUCGGACAUCAGGAGGUUAGUGCAAUGGCAUAAGCCAGCUUGACUGCGAGCGUGACGGCGCGAGCAGGUGCGAAAGCAGGUCAUAGUGAUCCGGUGGUUCUGAAUGGAAGGGCCAUCGCUCAACGGAUAAAAGGUACUCCGGGGAUAACAGGCUGAUACCGCCCAAGAGUUCAUAUCGACGGCGGUGUUUGGCACCUCGAUGUCGGCUCAUCACAUCCUGGGGCUGAAGUAGGUCCCAAGGGUAUGGCUGUUCGCCAUUUAAAGUGGUACGCGAGCUGGGUUUAGAACGUCGUGAGACAGUUCGGUCCCUAUCUGCCGUGGGCGCUGGAGAACUGAGGGGGGCUGCUCCUAGUACGAGAGGACCGGAGUGGACGCAUCACUGGUGUUCGGGUUGUCAUGCCAAUGGCACUGCCCGGUAGCUAAAUGCGGAAGAGAUAAGUGCUGAAAGCAUCUAAGCACGAAACUUGCCCCGAGAUGAGUUCUCCCUGACUCCUUGAGAGUCCUGAAGGAACGUUGAAGACGACGACGUUGAUAGGCCGGGUGUGUAAGCGCAGCGAUGCGUUGAGCUAACCGGUACUAAUGAACCGUGAGGCUUAACCUU